rnacentral:rRNA from 1 species
GAUGAACGCUAGCGGCAGGCCUAACACAUGCAAGUCGAGGGAGGAGCCUUCGGGCUUCGACCGGCGUACGGGUGCGUAACGCGUAUACAAUCUGCCUUUCACAUAGGGAUAGCCCGAAGAAAUUUGGAUUAAUACCUAAUGGUAUAUAGAUGUGGCAUCACCUUUAUAUUAAAGCUGAGGCGGUGAAAGAUGAGUAUGCGUUCUAUUAGCUAGUUGGAGAGGUAACGGCUCCCCAAGGCGACGAUAGAUAGGGGUUCUGAGAGGGAUAUCCCCCACACUGGUACUGAGAUACGGACCAGACUCCUACGGGAGGCAGCAGUGAGGAAUAUUGGACAAUGGUCGGAAGACUGAUCCAGCCAUGCCGCGUGCAGGAAGACGGCCUUAUGGGUUGUAAACUGCUUUUGCAGGGGAAGAAUAAGGACUACGCGUAGUUUGAUGACGGUACUCUGCGAAUAAGCAUCGGCUAACUCCGCG